rfam:Dipodomys ordii contig_34862, whole genome shotgun sequence.
GGGAAUGUGGCUUAGUGGUAGAGCGCUUGCCUAGCAUGCAUGAAGCCCUGGGUUCAAUUCCUCAGCACCA